UACGUAGGGGGCAAGCGUUGUCCGGAAUCAUUGGGCGUAAAGAGCGCGUAGGCGGCCCGAUAAGUCCGCUGUGAAAGUCAAGGGCUCAACCCUUGAAUGCCGGUGGAUACUGUCGGGCUAGAGUCCGGAAGAGGCGAGUGGAAUUCCUGGUGUAGCGGUGAAAUGCGCAGAUAUCAGGAGGAACACCAAUGGCGAAGGCAGCUCGCUGGGACGGUACUGACGCUGAGGCGCGAAAGCGUGGGGAGCGAACAGG
rnacentral:rRNA from 1 species